UCUCUCUCUCUCUCUCGCAAUCAGGUUCAUUUGAUGUGAACCCUAAAGUCAACCAUCACAGAUGCCAACUUUCGUUAAAAAAAUAUCUUUCAUUACAUUUAACUGAACCUGAGACGGAUACAGAUGAGAAUUCGUCUUCAACUGUCUUUCAGUUAUGUCCCUUAAGACGUCACUCAACACUGGGACGCCACAAAGAUCUAUACCAGAGUUCAUUUGAACCUGUUUCCAGGAGGAAUAUAUCUCAGCUGAGCUUCUUCGGGAAAUCAGCGCCAUUGUGCUUGGAUUUAGGCGUU
rnacentral:sRNA from 1 species